GAUGAACGCUGGCGGCGUGCUUAACACAUGCAAGUCGAGCGAGUGAGUUCUUCGGAACGAUCUAGCGGCGGACGGGUGAGUAACACGUGGGCAACCUGCCUCAUAGAGGGGAAUAGCCUCCCGAAAGGGAGAUUAAUACCGCAUAAAAUUAUCGAGUGGCAUCACAUGAUAAUCAAAGGAGUAAUCCGCUAUGAGAUGGGCCCGCGGCGCAUUAGCUAGUUGGUGAGGUAACGGCUCACCAAGGCGACGAUGCGUAGCCGACCUGAGAGGGUGAACGGCCACAUUGGGACUGAGACACGGCCCAGACUCCUACGGGAGGCAGCAGUGGGGAAUAUUGCACAAUGGGGGAAACCCUGAUGCAGCAACGCCGCGUGAGUGAUGAAGGUCUUCGGAUUGUAAAGCUCUGUCUUUGGGGACGAUAAUGACGGUACCCAAGGAGGAAGCCACGGCUAACUACGUGCCAGCAGCCGCCGUAA
rnacentral:rRNA from 1 species